ACGGUAGGUCAGUAUGCCCCGAAUCUCCCGGGCUACACGCGGCCUACAAUGGACAGGGACAAUGGGCUCCGAUCCCGAAAGGGAAAGCAAUCCUUAAACCUGUUCUUAGUUCGGAUUGUGGGCUGCAACUCGCCCACAUGAAGCUGGAAUCCGUAGUAAUCGCGUUUCAAAAUAGCGCGGUGAAUAUGUCCCUGCUCCUU
rnacentral:rRNA from 1 species